UACGUAGGGACCGAGCGUUGUCCGGAAUCAUUGGGCGUAAAGAGCGUGUAGGCGGCCUGUUAAGUCUUCUGUGAAAUCUACGGGCUUAGCCUGUAACGUGCAGAGGAAACUAGCAGGCUUGAGUGUCGGAGAGGAUAGGGGAAUUCCCGGUGUAGAGGUGAAAUUCGUAGAGAUCGGGAGGAACACCAGUGGCGAAGGCGCCUAUCUGGCUGACAACUGACGCUGAGACUCGAAAGCAUGGGGAGCAAACAGG
rnacentral:rRNA from 1 species